AUUGAACGCUGGCGGCAGGCUUAACACAUGCAAGUCGAGCGGAGAUGAGGUGCUUGCACCUUAUCUUAGCGGCGGACGGGUGAGUAAUGCUUAGGAAUCUGCCACUUAGUGGGGGACAACAUUCCGAAAGGAAUGCUAAUACCGCAUACGUCCUACGGGAGAAAGCAGGGGAUCUUCGGAACUUGCGUUAAAUGAUGAGCCUAAGUCGGAUUAGCUAGUUGGUGGGGUAAAGGCCUACCAAGGCGACGAUCUGUGGCGGGUCUGAGAGGAUGAUCCGCCACACUGGGACUGAGACACGGCCCAGACUCCUACGGGAGGCAGCAGUGGGGAAUAUUGGACAAUGGGCGGAAGCCUGAUCCAGCCAUGCCGCGUGUGUGAAGAAGGCCUUUUGGUUGUAAAGCACUUUAAGCGAGGAGGAGGCUACUAGUACUAAUACUACUGGAUAGUGGACGUUACUCGCAGAAUAAGCACCGGCUAACUCUGUGCCAGCCGCCGCAGUAAUAC
rnacentral:rRNA from 1 species